rnacentral:rRNA from 1 species
UAGCGGAGGAAAAGAAACCAACCGGGAUUGCCCUAGUAACGGCGAGUGAAGCGGCAAGAGCUCAAAUUUGAAAGCUGGCCCCCUCGGGGUCCGCAUUGUAAUUUGCAGAGGAUGCUUCGGGAACGGCCCCCAUCUAAGUGCCCUGGAACGGGCCGUCAUAGAGGGUGAGAAUCCCGUCUGGGAUGGGGUGGCCGCGCCCGUGUGAAGCUCCUUCGACGAGUCGAGUUGUUUGGGAAUGCAGCUCUAAUUGGGUGGUAAAUUUCAUCUAAAGCUAAAUAUUGGCCGGAGACCGAUAGCGCACAAGUAGAGUGAUCGAAAGAUGAAAAGCACUUUGAAAAGAGAGUUAAACAGCACGUGAAAUUGUUGAAAGGGAAGCGCUUGCGACCAGACUCGCCCGCGGGGUUCAGCCGGCACUCGUGCCGGUGUACUUCCCCGCGGGCGGGCCAGCGUCGGUUUGGGCGGCCGGUCAAAGGCCUCUGGAAGGUAACGCCUCUCGGGGCGUCUUAUAGCCAGGGGUGCCAUGCGGCCUGCCCGGACCGAGGAACGCGCUCGGCU